GACAGAGGUGGCAAGCGUUGUUCGGAUUCAUUGGGUGUAAAGGGUUCGUAGGUGGCCAAAUAAGUCUGACGUGAAAUCCCAGGGCUCAACCCUGGAACUGCGUUGGAAACUGUAUGGCUUGAGUGCCGCAGAGGUAAAGGGAAUUCCCGGUGUAAGGGUGAAAUCUGUAGAUAUCGGGAGGAACACCAGUGGCGAAGGCGCUUUACUGGGCGGUUACUGACACUGAGGAACGAAAGCAAGGGGAGCAAACAGGAUUAGAAACCCCAGUAGU
rnacentral:rRNA from 1 species